rnacentral:tRNA from 1 species
GGAGCAGUGGCGCAGCCUGGUAGCGCAUCGGGAGCGCACCUCCCGAAGGUCGACAGUUCGAAUCUGUCCUGCACCG